CAACUUAAUGGCGGACAAUCGCACUAAACUUAGAAUUUAACCAUGCUCCAU
rnacentral:tRNA from 2 species